GAGUUUGAUCGUGGCUCAGGAUGAACGCUGGCGGCGUGCUUAACACAUGCAAGUCGAACGGGAAAUACUUUAUUGAAACUUUGGUGGAUUUAAUUUAUUUCUAGUGGCGGACGGGUGAGUAACGCGUGGGUAACCUGCCUUAUACUGGGGGAUAACAGCCAGAAAUGACUGCUAAUACCGCAUAAGCGCACAGAACCGCAUGGUUCCGUGUGAAAAACUCCGGUGGUAUAAGAUGGACCCGCGUUGGAUUAGCUAGUUGGCAGGGCAGCGGCCUACCAAGGCGACGAUCCAUAGCCGGCCUGAGAGGGUGAACGGCCACAUUGGGACUGAGACACGGCCCAGACUCCUACGGGAGGCAGCAGUGGGGAAUAUUGCACAAUGGGGGAAACCCUGAUGCAGCGACGCCGCGUGAAGGAAGAA
rnacentral:rRNA from 1 species